rnacentral:rRNA from 1 species
GAUGAACGCUGGCGGCGUGCCUAAUACAUGCAAGUCGAGCGAACAGACGAGGAUCUUGCUGCUCUGACGUUAGCGGCGGACGGGUGAGUAACACGUGGAUAACCUACCUAUAAGACUGGGAUAACGUCGGGAAACCGGAGCUAAGACCGGAUAAUAUAUUGAACCGCAUGGUUGAAUAGUGAAAGACGGUUUUGCUGUCACGUAUAGAUGGAUCCUCGCCGGAUUAGCUAGUUGGUAAGGUAACGGCUUACCAAGGCAACGAUGCGUAGCCGACCUGAGAGGGGGAUGGGCCACACGGGAGCUGAGACGCGGUCCAGAGUCCUACGGGCGGCCGAAGCAGCGAAUCUUCGGCACAGGGCGGAAGCUUGCAGGAGCAACGCAGCGUGAGUGAUGCAGGUCUUCGGAUCGUAAGACUCUGUUAUUAGGGAAGACCAAAUGUGUAAGUAACUAUGCACGUCUUGACGGUACCUAGUCAGAAAGCAACGGCUAACUACGUG